rnacentral:rRNA from 1 species
UACGGGGGGGGGCAAGCGUUGUUCGGAAUUACUGGGCGUAAAGGGCUCGUAGGCGGCCAACUAAGUCAGACGUGAAAUCCCUCGGCUUAACCGGGGAACUGCGUCUGAUACUGGUUGGCUUGAGUUUGGGAGAGGGAUGCGGAAUUCCAGGUGUAGCGGUGAAAUGCGUAGAUAUCAGGAGGAACACCUGUGGCGAAAGCGGCUCACUGGACCAUAACUGACGCUGAGGCACGAAAGCGUGGGGAGCAAACAGG